rnacentral:SRP_RNA from 1 species
CUGUGCUAGGUGGGGGGCUAGCGGUCCCCUGAAAUCCACAACCCGCUAUAGUGGAGCCGAAGGGUUCCCAGAGGGGGAAGGCAGUAGGGUCCGUUCUCGGGCAAGCGGUGUUGAGGGUCGAGCUCUCUGCGGCGCAUGCUUGUAAACCCCGUCAGGCCCGGAAGGGAGCAGCGGUAAGCGAGCCUCUGCGGGUGUUAGAGAAUAACUUGGCCUGAGCUGGCUGCCUGUGAAGCGCCUGGUGUCUUCUCACAACGGGACCACGCACAG